ACACUCCUGCGGGAGGCAGCAGUGGGGAAUUUUGGAUAAUGGGCGAAAGCCUGAUCCAGCAAUGCCGCGUGUGUGAAGAAGGCCUUCGGGUUGUAAAGCACUUUUGUCCGGAAAGAAAUCCUUGGCUCUAAUACAGUCGGGGGAUGACGGUACCGGAAGAAUAAGCACCGGCUAACUACGUGCCAGCAGCCGCGGUAAUACGUAGGGUGCGAGCGUUAAUCGGAAUUACUGGGCGUAAAGCGUGCGCAGGCGGUUUGCUAAGACCGAUGUGAAAUCCCCGGGCUCAACCUGGGAACUGCAUUGGUGACUGGCAGGCUAGAGUAUGGCAGAGGGGGGUAGAAUUCCACGUGUAGUAGUGAAAUGCGUAGAGAUGUGGAGGAAUACCGAUGGCGAAGGCAGCCCCCUGGGCCAAUACUGACGCUCAUGCACGAAAGCGUGGGGAGCAAACAGGAUUAGAAACCCCAGUAGUCCCAUG
rnacentral:rRNA from 1 species